rnacentral:rRNA from 1 species
AUUGAACGCUGGCGGCAGGCCUAACACAUGCAAGUCGAGCGGAUGAAGGGUGCUUGUUCCUGGAUUCAGCGGCGGGCGGGUGAGUAAUGCCCAGGAAUCUGCCUGGUAGUGGGGGAUAACGUCUGGAAACGGGCGCUAAUACCGCCUACGUCCUGAGGGUGCAAGAGGGGGAUCUUUGGACCUCACGCUAUCUGAUGAGCCUAGGCCGGAUUUGCUAGUUGGUGGGGUGAAGGCCUACCAAGGCGGCGAUCCGUAGCUGAGCUGAGAGGAUGAUCAGUCACACGAGAACUGAGACACGGUCCAGAGGCCUACGGUAGGCAACAGUGGGGAAUAUUAGACAAUGGGCGGAAGCCUGAUCCAGCCGUGCCGCGUGUGUGAAGAAGGUCUUCGGAGUGGAAAGCACUUUAAGUUGUGGGGAAGGGCAGUAAGUUAAGACCUUGCUGUUUUGACGGUACCGACAGAAUAAGCACCGGCUAACUACGUG